rnacentral:rRNA from 1 species
UACGGAGGGGGCUAGCGUUGUCCGGAAUUACUGGGCGUAAAGGGCGCGUAGGCGGCGCGGAUAGUCGGCGGUGAAAGCCCGGAGCUCAACUCCGGGUCGGCCGUCGAUACUUCCGGGCUUGAGCACUGUAGAGGCAGAUGGAAUUCCGGGUGUAGCGGUGGAAUGCGUAGAGAUCCGGAAGAACACCGGUGGCGAAGGCGGUCUGCUGGGCAGUUGCUGACGCUGAUGCGCGACAGCGUGGGGAGCAAACAGG